ensembl:lncRNA
AGCUGUGCUGCCUUUCGCUUCUCCUUUUACUGCGUUCUCUCAUGAAUCGAGGGAGUUGGAUGAAUCGUGGCAUUUUGCAGAUGGAGAUACCAACCCAGAGUAGACGAUGAGCAUCCCACCAAAAGCUGGACACUGGGACCUCUAACCCCUGGGGGCUGGAAAGUUCUGUCUGAAAGCAUGCCAACUGGAAAUCAGAUUAUGUGGAGGGGAUAAAAAUAGCCCUGCCUGCUACUCAGCACAACGCAGCCCAUCUUUGUCCUCAUGUCUCGGGUGCAAUCAACUUUGCCAGGACUUCUUCACCCUACUGGCUUCUUCCCAGAGCAGUGGAUCAAAGGUCAUCUGUCUUUCCUCCCUUUAUUCCCAGCUGUUUUUGCUGACUUUGUUUGAGGCAUCACCCAUCAGGGACUGGAAACAACUGUCUUUGUCUUCUUGACUGGUUUCUGCACUGUGGAUGGGCCCCAGCAGCUGACUCUCUGGCCCCAUCCGGGAGGCCCUGAUCCAAACACUGCUUAGCCGGCCCCCUCUCUUCAUAGGGCCAACAUGGGAGAGCAAUCCAAUGAGUCUUUGUUUUUCUGGAUCAAUCAUCUAAUGCAAGAAGCCCAGAGAACAGGUGAAACCCCUUUCUCAAAGUUUGGGAACGAAAGGAACCUCUCUGCUCUGUGAACUGAGCUGAAGCUCCAAAACAUUGGCCACCUGACGCAAAGAGCCAAGUCAUUGGAAAAGACCCUGAUGCUGGGAAAGAUUGAAGGCAAAAGGAGAAGGGGGUAACAGAGGUUCGAUACCAUCACCGACUCAGUGGACAUGAGUUUGAGCAAACUCCGGGAGAUGGUGAAGGACUGGAAAGUGUGGCACGCUGCAAUCCAUGGGGUUGCAGAGAGUUGGACACAACUUAGUAACUGAACAGCAACAAGGAAAUUAAUUAUAUUAAAAUGCAAUUCAUAAUGGCUGGGUUUAUGUGUUAACUUGAUAUAUAUCCAGAUAUCCAGGUAUUUAGUCAAUCAUAAGUCUGAGUGUGUCUGUGGGGGGAUUUUUGAAUGAGAUUAGUAUUUGGAUCCGUGGAAUGAGUAAAGCAGAUUGCUCUCCCCAGUGUGUGUGGCCUCCUCUAAUUAGUUGAAGGUCCAAACAGCACAAAAAGGCAGACCCUCUGGAGAAUGAGAGAAUUCUUGGGAAUCCUUAGAGUUCCAGUGGUUAGGACUUGGAGCUUCCACUGCUGAGGCCCUGGGGUUUGAUCCCCGAUUAGGGAACUAAGAUCUCCCAAGCCUUGUGGUGAGGCCAAAAAAAAAUAAAUAAAUAAAUAAAAAGAAAGUGUUUCCUACU